GGUCACAUGUCAAGGACUUCCUCUUGGACGAUGCCGCCUCCUUGGCUGUUGUUGUCGUCUCCUCAAAUAAGUCGUAUCAGGUUAGUUCCAUUGCACUGCAAAUACUACCAGUUCUAUUGGGCAAGCAAAUACAACUUGAAAGUAUAAGUCGUAUCAGGUUAGUUCCAUUGUACGCCAGUGUCGUCUGGCACGCGAAGUCAAUUUCUUACAUCGCCCAUUGUUGUCAUCUGCUACUCUAACCAGUAACCAUCCCUUGCUCCCAAUAAUUUUGAGCUCGCAAAUAUGGCAUUGGUUGCUUGAUUAGCAUUAUGUCUUUCAAGGACAAAACUAAUUGUCGAUUCUUUUUGGAUACAGCAGAUGGAUUUUGGAUGCAGACCAAUGUGGUUUCUUCAUAGUACUAGGGAGCCGACAAUAAAAAACAUGAGAAUUCAUCACCUAUCUUAGCCACCGCAACCUGAACAAGAUUUGCCAACAUCUAUCUUAAUCCUUUUGAAUGGUUGGUAGCAGAUCUGUCCUACAAGCAGAAAUCAUCUACUUUGUGUUUGAAUUUUCUAAAUUACGGUAAAACAUGUGCAUACUUCAGUUUGCACAAAGAGCAAACCUAGACAAUCUGUUGUAGGGUCUGAGCUACUGAAUAUACAUGUAGUAAAAAAUACUUUUCCUUUGGUCCUCUUUCAUGUUCAAGUUCCUAACGAAGCUGCCAUAUAGCACAUUUAGGCUCUGGUCAACAAGUCAGCGGACAAGUUGCAAAUUCAAUCAACAAUGAAGGAACAUAGAAAACUGAACCCACUGUUCAUGAUCUUUAAGGAAGAAAACACACAAGAUUCGUUAUUCAAUCUUAUCAAUGACCAUGUGUAAUCUAGGCUAUUUUGUUAUCAAUAGCUAAAAGUUGUUCACAAGCCUUAGGUGUUUUGAUGUUUCUUGAAUAUGGAGCUGCAGGUAGAGCUGAGGAUUAAGGAUUAAGUAUAAACGCAAUGGAGCCCGUUGUAUAACAACGCAGAGCCAAAGAAGAUGCUAUUUUAUUGUUGCCUUAUCUUUGUCGAUGCAGUCGAAUAUGGGUCUAUUCUGGUGCCCUGUCUUCAUGGUAGCGUGUGUAUGUAACAAGGGGGCGGCCGUGAG
rnacentral:lncRNA from 1 species